rnacentral:rRNA from 1 species
CUUUACUAUAGCUUGACACUGAACAUUGAGCCUUGAUGUGUAGGAUAGGUGGGAGGCUUUGAAGCGUGGACGCCAGUCUGCGUGGAGCCAACCUUGAAAUACCACCCUUUAAUGUUUGAUGUUCUAACGUUGGCCCCUGACCGGGGUUGCGGACAGUGUCUGGUGGGUAGUUUGACUGGGGCGGUCUCCUCCCAAAGCGUAACGGAGGAGCACGAAGGUUAGCUAAUCCUGGUCGGACAUCAGGAGGUUAGUGCAAUGGCAUAAGCUAGCUUGACUGCGAGCGUGACGGCGCGAGCAGGUGCGAAAGCAGGUCAUAGUGAUCCGGUGGUUCUGAAUGGAAGGGCCAUCGCUCAACGGAUAAAAGGUACUCCGGGUAUAACAGGCUGAUACCGCCCAAGAGUUCAUAUCGACGGCGGUGUUUGG